UACGGGGGGGGCAAGCGUUGUUCGGAAUUACUGGGCGUAAAGGGCUCGUAGGCGGCCAACUAAGUCGGACGUGAAAUCCCUCGGCUUAACCGGGGAACUGCGUCCGAUACUGGAUGGCUUGAGUUUGGGAGAGGGAUGCGGAAUUCCAGGUGUAGCGGUGAAAUGCGUAGAUAUCAGGAGGAACACCAAUUGCGAAGGCAGCUCGCUGGGACGUUACUGACGCUGAGACGCGAAAGCGUGGGGAGCAAACAGG
rnacentral:rRNA from 1 species